rnacentral:rRNA from 1 species
AUUGAACGCUGGCGGCAGGCCUAACACAUGCAAGUCGAACGCGUCGCGGGCGGGUGUGUAAUGUCUGGGACACCGUGCGAUGGGGGGGUAUAACCACUGGAAAGGGUCGCUUACACCGCAACAUAACGUAUGUGCACAGAUGGGAUUAGCUUGUAGGUGGGGUAACGGCGCACCUAGGCCACGAUCCCUAGCUGGUCUGAGAGGAGGAACAUGCACACUGGAACUGAGACACGGUCCAGACUCGUACGUGAGGCAGCAUUGGGGAAUAGUGCACAAUGGGCGAAAGCCUGAUGCAGCCAUGCCGCGUGUGUGAAGAAGGCCUUCGGGUUGUAAAGUACUUUCAGCGAGGAGGCGUUACUCGCAGAAGAAGCACCGGCUAACUACGUGCCAGCAGCCGCGGUAAUAC